UACGUAGGGGGCCAAGCGUUGUCCGGAAUUAUUGGGCGUAAAGAGCUUGUAGGCGGUUUGUCGCGUCUGCCGUGAAAGUCCGGGGCUCAACUCCGGAUCUGCGGUGGGGUACGGGCAGACUAGAGUGAUGUAGGGGAGACUGGAAUUCCUGGUGUAGCGGUGAAUGCGCAGAUAUCGGGAGGAACACCAAUUGCGAAGGCAGCUCGCUGGGACGUUACUGACGCUGAGACGCGAAAGCGUGGGGAGCAAAACGG
rnacentral:rRNA from 1 species